GAGUUUGAUCCUGGCUCAGAAUCAACGCUGGCGGCGCGCUUAACACAUGCAAGUCGAACGAGAAAGGGGAGCAAUCCCUGAGUAAAGUGGCGUACGGGUGAGUGACACGUGGGUAAUCUGCCUUCUGGUGGGGAAUAACUCUGGGAAACCGGAGCUAAUACCGCAUAAGACCGAGAGGUGAAAGGAGCAAUUCGCCGGAAGAGGAGCCCGCGGCCGAUUAGCUAGUUGGGAGGGUAAAAGCCUACCAAGGCAAAGAUCGGUAGCCGGCCUGAGAGGGCACACGGCCACACUGGCACUGAAACACGGGCCAGACUCCUACGGGAGGCAGCAGUGGGGAAUCUUGCACAAUGGGGGAAACCCUGAUGCAGCGACGCCGCGUGAGUGAUGAAGCCCUUCGGGGUGUAAAGCUCUUUCGGCAGGGACGAUAAUGACGGUACCUGAAGAAGAAGCUGCGGCUAACUACGUGCCAGCAGCCGCGGUAAUACGUAGGCAGCGAGCGUUGUUCGGAGUUACUGGGCGUAAAGCGUGCGUAGGCGGUGUCCUAAGUCUGGUGUGAAAUCUCCCGGCUCAACUGGGAGGGUGCGCUAGAAACUGGGGUGCUGGAGUGUGGGAGAGGUAAGCGGAAUUCCUGGUGUAGCGGUGAAAUGCGUAGAUAUCAGGAGGAACACCUGCGGUGUAGACGGCUUACUGGACCACUACUGACGCUGAGGCACGAAAGCGUGGGGAGCAAACAGGAUUAGAUACCCUGGUAGUCCACGCCCUAAACGAUGCAUACUUGGUGUGGGCAGUUCAGUCUGUCC
rnacentral:rRNA from 1 species